rnacentral:misc_RNA from 1 species
GUGAAUCAUCAAAUUUUUGAACGCAAAUUGCACUUUCUGGUAUUCCGGAAAGUAUGCCUGUUUGAGGGUCAGUUAAAUAAAAAUCGGUGUUGUUGCUGCUUUUCAUGGUGACGCGUCGGCAUUGAGUUGUCUUACCUUCGGUUAAGUGACUUAAAAUUUUACAUGAUUUUCGAUCGUAUUUAAAUUUCUUACGUACGUUUUAUAUAUCUAGUACUUUACUAGGUUCGAUCAUCCUCAUGCUUGGCACCU